GUUGCUCGUACUGAACCCGAAGAU
rnacentral:siRNA from 1 species